rnacentral:rRNA from 1 species
AUCAAUAAGCGGAGGAAAAGAAACUAACAAGGAUUCCCUUAGUAACGGCGAGCGAAGCGGGAACAGCUCAAAUUUGAAAUCUCCGGUGCCUGCACCGGCGAAUUGUAGUCUGUAGGGCCAGUUUCGCCCGACGCGGUGUCCCCAAAGUCGUCCUGGAAAGGCGGGCCAGAGAGGGUGAGAGCCCCGUGUGCGGGGGCACUGCGGAAGGUAAGAUCUGUGCCCAAAGAGUCGGGUUGUUUGGGAUUGCAGCCCAAAAUGGGUGGUAAACUCCAUCUAAAGCUAAAUACUGGCACGAGACCGAUAGCGAACAAGUACCGUGAGGGAAAGAUGAAAAGCACUUUGAAAAGAGAGUCAAACAGUACGUGAAACCGUUGGGAGGGAAACGAACGAGGUUGGUGCAGUGAUUGCGCAGGCUCAGGUUCUGCCGAAGGUGCCGACGGGGUGACCAGAGCGUCCCCUGGCGUCUGCCGGAGGCAGAGCCGUACUCCUCGCGAGCACGGACCAGCGGCGGUUGGAGUGGGGCCAUAAGGCUGCUCGGACGGUAUGUCGGGUCGGGCUUGCCCGCUCGACAACUUACAGACUGGCUUCCCGGCGCUCCACUCCGACCGAGGAAGGAGGGCAGCUUUUGCCCGGUGUGGUGCACGCCGUAUGGCGGGGCCUCCCGUCGGGGGCGAGCCGUGCUGGGUGGACUGCGUGCAGUGCUCACUGUCACGGUGGACCCACGGUCGGAGAGCGUCACUUGUGCACCAGUGC